rnacentral:rRNA from 1 species
CGCUGGCGGCGUGCUUAACACAUGCAAGUCGAACGGGAUCCAUCAAGCUUGCUUGGUGGUGAGAGUGGCGAACGGGUGAGUAAUGCGUGACCGACCUGCCCCAUACACCGGAAUAGCUCCUGGAAACGGGUGGUAAUGCCGGAUGUUCCAGUUGAUCGCAUGGUCUUCUGGGAAAGCUUUCGCGGUAUGGGAUGGGGUCGCGUCCUAUCAGCUUGACGGCGGGGUAACGGCCCACCGUGGCUUCGACGGGUAGCCGGCCUGAGAGGGCGACCGGCCACAUUGGGACUGAGAUACGGCCCAGACUCCUACGGGAGGCAGCAGUGGGGAAUAUUGCACAAUGGGCGCAAGCCUGAUGCAGCGACGCCGCGUGAGGGAUGGAGGCCUUCGGGUUGUAAACCUCUUUUAUCGGGGAGCAAGCGUGAGUGAGUUUACCCGUUGAAUAAGCACCGGCUAACUACGUGCCAGCAGCCGCGG